UACGAAGGGGGCUAGCGUUGUUCGGAAUUACUGGGCGUAAAGCGCACGUAGGCGGACAGUUAAGUCGGGGGUGAAAGCCCGGGGCUCAACCUCGGAAUUGCCUCGAUACUGGCUGUCUUGAGUGCGGGAGAGGUGUGUGGAACUCCGAGUGUAGAGGUGAAAUUCGUAGAUAUUCGGAAGAACACCAGUGGCGAAGGCGACACACUGGCCCGUUACUGACGCUGAGGCGCGAAAGCGUGGGGAGCAAACAGG
rnacentral:rRNA from 1 species